CAAGGUUACUGGAAAUUGCAGCAUGGAAAUGGGGCCAUUUCAAGGCUAUUUCCAAGCCAUAGCAUGAAUCAAGGGAAGGAAUGCAGCUUCUGGAAAUUGCAGCACAAAAAGGGCGCGAUUUUAGUACAAUAUUCGUGCUAUAGCGCCAUCAUGCGAGCAGCACAAAGCUUCUGGAAUUUUUGGGUUGAAAACGGUGCGAUUUCUUUGGAAAAAUGGUGCCAUAGCAUCAAUCUCAGAUUUUUAAAAAUCAAUCUCAAAACACUACGAAGAUAAGAGGUUUGUUUUCCUAAAAAGAAAAAAAAAAGACAGAAUCUUAUCAUACUUGUAUCUGAUCCAAUGUUGAAAUUUAAAAAGAACUAUCUCCUUCCCUUGUUUUCACGUAUUCUGCUUGCCCUUAUUCUGAAGUUUUCCUCUUCUCCCCUCACGCGAUUCUCUCUAGCCCUCAAGAUGGCAAACCCUUUUGGUGAUCUUGAGCAAAAAAUUCUGAAGCUCACAGUAGCGGAGCGGCUGGAGAGGAGAGUGAUGAUGAUGAGCCUCAGAGCUCAUAUUAAGGGAGUUCUUUCCCUUUCCUUUUACUGUUUUAUUUUAGCUUUCGUUGUUUCUUAUUUAGUUGAGUCUUGCAUGCUAGUUAGUUUGUGUUUUGUGGAGUCAGUUUACCCUUAUAUGCUUGUGUUGUGCACCAUGUUACUUGCAUGUCUCAAGCGGUUUCACCCUAAAUUUAGAUGCUUGUUUUGUUUGUGAAAAUUGCUGAAAAUAAGUUAUUUGGGGCGAUUCACAUGUGGGGAACUGUUUGUGUUAAGAGAAUGAGAGUUGGGUAACUUUGGGAACCUGAGUUGAGUUGCUUGGAAACACUGUUUUGAGUUCUGAUUAUGGGUACACUUACCCUUUGUUUCUGAGUGUUGAGUGAAUAUUCUGGCAUACUUGUACCUGCUUGAACCUGUCUUGAUUUUCAUCUCGGUUGAAUAUGUGCAGUUUUGUGAUUCAGAGAGAGACUUAUAGGAAUUUUUGUUGGCUUUCAAAAUUUGCUUUCAUAUUGCCCUUAGUGGCCCCUUUGAGCCUUAAUUAUUGUUUAUUUGGUGCCUUGCUUUGGUGAUUUGUUUGGUUGUUAAGUGAUCAUAGUUACUUAAAAAUUGGAAAUAGCUUAAAAAUUGCAGGCUUCUAUUCUCUCAAAAAAAGGAAAAAAAAUGAAAAGACAAAAUGUAAAAAUUUGAGGUAUGUGCCUCGGAACAAAGGGAAAGAAAAAAAUAUGAAAUAAGUAAGUAAGGUUAUAGGGGUGGUCAUCCCACUUUCUAUAUUCCCCAAUCACUUCAUUACUUUGUUCCACAUGAAGGAAAAAAAAAGGAAUAAGAGGGAUAGCCUAAAUGUGUUGAAUCUAUUGCUCCUUUGUGCAUCAUGAAAAAAGAUCACUUAACCAACAUUGGGUAGCCCUUUGAGUUGUCAAUUCUUUCAAUUCCUUACCUACAUUGCACCCUUAGCCACGUUACAACCUGAUGAGGUCUCUCCUAAUUGCCUUGCUGUCUUAUUUGAUUUUGAGUUGAAAGAUAGCCAGGUUUGAUGCACUGUACUUGUUUGUUCAUGAGCUGAGAGUUGUGUGAGCUUAUUUGUAUGGACUCUUAACUCUGUUUUCUUGCUGCUUGUAAUUCUCACUUACUGAAGUUUAUUCACUUUCUUAUCUUAGCACUUGCAUGAACUACUGUAAUGAACCCUAGGUUUUUAGACUGAAAAUUUGGCAUCUGAGUUAGGGGUGAUUAGUUAUGUGCUUGAGGACAAGCUAAUUGAGUUUACGCUUGAGGACAAGCUGUCGUUGAGUAAAGUGGUGUGUUGACCCGGAGAUAUAAGGGUAUUUUUGUGGGUCUUUUAUUUUAUUUUUAAUUUAUUUUCUGAUUUUUAAUUAGUUUUUAUGGUAUUUUUAUAUAAUUUUCGUAUUUUUAAUUAUUUUAGGAUUUUAGGAGUUUUUAUUUUGAUUUGUUAGAUUUUAGUAGUUUUUAUCUUAUCAUUAAUUAGUACUUUUCAAAUGAUAGAUUUAUCUUUCUAGGAUUUUAUUUUAAUUUUAUUUAGGAUUUUCGGAAUAAAGAGAAAAGAGAAAAUCAGAAUAAGAGAGCUGAUCCGGUGCUACUGGCCCACGGGAGCCCCCAUGCACGUGCAGGAAAUCAAUGGCUGUUGUAUCCCUUCUCGCCAUGUGACAUGAUGGUGGCAGAGGUCCACCGUAAGACAGUGAUGUGAGUUGUACUCGAUUCCACCCUAUUUGAAGCACGGACUGAAGGUGCGAAAAACACUAGAAAGGGGGGGGGGGUUUGAAUAGAGUUUUUGAGUCACGGGUAUACUUUUAAGCUUUUUCAAAACUCAAAGAUAAAAACUAAGUGCUGAAUGAUGGGAAGUGAAGCACGCAAGUAUUUUAUCCUGGUUCACUUGAGAUAAAAGCUCAAGCUAAUCCAGUCCACCUGUGAAGGUGAUUUCUUCCUUCUUCUGAUGAAGGCAAUCCACUAAAAUCAAUGAAUGUUACAACUGCACUUUGCAACCUGCUAAGUGGCUAACAUUACACUGAUUUUCACACUAGUAUCCUCUUAAGAAGCUGAUCUACCGAUCCUCUUAAGACUAGCUAAAAACUGAAUCAGCCUUGAUUCAGUCCACUUAAGAUCCGACCAACCUUGGUCUCUUAAGGAACUUUACAAUAAGAUGUAAAAGGUUUCGGGUUUACAAUGAAUGCUUCUGAAAAGCGAAUGGUAAACUCAGAUGUUUAAGAACAGUGAAGAAAUAUUGCUAAGAGAUUGGUUUGUAAGUGUUGAAUGAUUUCAGCAAAGUUUCUUAACUUCUUUCUUCUUUCUUCAGCCUUUAUAUACUCCAAGACAUGUGAUGUAGCCGUUGCUAGGGUUUUAUCCGUUGGAGUGGCAAUUCUGUAAUAUCAGACUGCUAGGCUGUACAAGGUAGGUGGCAGACAGACUGAGACUUGUACGACGUUUUACUGUGAUAGCGACCUGUCCUUUCACCAGUUGACUUGUGAUCAAACAACUUCAGAUGAACGUUGGUGAAGCUUCUGAUCAUCGUCAGAUUGAAGCUUGGAUUCUUCUGACCUUGCAACUUCUGCUUCUGAACAAGUUCCUCAUAACUUCUGAUCGUCAGAGCUAGAAUAGCUUGGGUCUUCAGAACCAACUUCUUGCGAGUCUUCAGAACUUGAGUCUUCUGCUUCUGGACCGUUCCACUGGAACAUCUGGUCUUCAGAACUUCUGACUUGAGUUCUUCAGAACUUCUUGAGAGCUUCCAUCUUCAGAGCUUCUGAGGUAUUUGCCACUGUUAAGAACGAACAUGGUAGGUUAAAGAGCUCUCUUUUUAGUAACCCUUGGUUCUUCUUCUUCUGAACGAAUAGGCUUGGGUCAGAUUCAGAACCUGUUUGUCACAACUUAAAAAGACAAACGUUAGGGUACCACAAUUGUUCAUCAUCACAAACCUUAAUUGUAAUCAUCAAAACAUAGAGAUGCAACCACUGAUCAAACCUUGAUCUUACAAUCUCCCCCUUUUUGAUGAUGACAAAACAAGUAUUUUGAUGAACAAUUUUUACACAAUAAACUGAAUACACAAGAGAGAAAAGAUCAGAGAUUAAACUUAUCCUUGUGUAACGGUUUGCAAUGCUCUUUCUGAAUCUGAGUUAACACCUGAUUCUGAGUUAGGGUCUCUCCCUGACUCCCCCUGAAUCUAUGACUUGAUGAAUUUGUGAAGAAUCUAGAUUCGGAGUCUGGUUAUGUGAUUAGAAUUUACUCUUGAAGAGAUGUAUACUCAUCAGAAGUGAUGGUUCAGAACUUAGCGUAUAUCACAUAGUAACAUAGAGUCUUGUCUAGAUAUAAUUGGAAUAAGGCGUCAGAAGCAAGAUUAGUUCAGAAUAUGACCAAAAUGUAUUCCUUAUCUGAGACGCUUGACAAUAUCUAUGUGCUACAAGUAUUUGAUACUUGUUCUCCUCUUUGGUUUUAUAUAGUAUAAAAGUUUAUCAAAACCAAUUUUAUGUACUCCCCCUUUUUGUCAUAAUCAAAAAGAGUGAAAAACAACACCAACAAUAACAAGAACAAUAACAAUAACAAAGAGGUGAUGCAAAUAAGACACGUUAUUAUUACUGAAUGGAGAAGAAGUACAAAGGAUCGAAAGGAAAGAAAAAGACUAAUCCUAGAUAAAUAGGAAGGCUCGAGAAUUCUUCAUGGAGAGAAGUUGAAGGUGGAGGGGACGAAUGUCCUGAUCAAUUGUGGCUAACUGAGUAGCCAGUUCUUCCUUCAAGGCAACGUUCUCCUGGACGGCCUCUUGAUCCGCUUCAUCGUGAUCUUCUUCAUAUUCCAGAAGCAUGCAAAUGCCCCAGAGCUGAUCUUCAACGUCCUUCCGGCGAGUGGUCAGACGGAGGAGGUCAUUCAGAACUGCUUGAAGGUUCUGAAGACAGUGAGUCUGAUGAGAAGUGAGCCAGCAUUUCAGAAGGGUCGCAAUCUUCUCAAGAGCGUGAGAGAUCUGAGAAGAAGAUAGAUUGACACUCCAUGGAAAGACUUGGUCGAAUACCAGAGUCUUGAGUUCAGAUAUCAAGGUGACAGUAGUCAUUUUGAUUUGGAAGAGAGGAGAAUAGAUAUGAAUGGAGGAGAAUGGGAUUGAAUUGUGAGGGAGAAGAUGAACGCAGUGAAUAUAAAGAAGAAAAGUAACAGAAAAGCAUGCAUAAAACUUAUCAAUCAUAAAAGCAUGUGAGUUACUAAAUGGGCGGUGCAUUGAAUCAGAAAAUAAGAAAUUAACACAGUCAACAUGAAUUAAAUUUAGUCAUAACACAUAAAUGCAUGCAUGAUAGAAGUGAGGGAUUCAAGGCUUGGAAGUGGAGGGAAGGUUGUCCAUUAGGUACUUCAUGAUUGCUUCCAUUUUUCCUGAGGACUCUUGAAUUUGCUUGCUUUGCUCAUUCUGAACACGUCCUUGUUCCUCAACCAUCUGAAAUAACCUUUGCUGAUCAUUCUGAAUUCUGUCAAUCCGGGCAGCAAGAAUUUCAACUUCUGGAGCUGGAGCAGAGGUAGGAACUUCUGGAGCUUGAGCAUGAGGAGCAACUUCAGCAUCUGAUGACAUUGCAAUAUCAACUUGAGUUGGCCCUUGCUUCUGAACUUCAUCAGCAUCUGCAUCUUCCAGAAUGACAAUGCCGUCAGAGCUUUCUUCUGCAACCUCUGCUGAAGGCAUCUCAGCAUCCUCUGAGGUACAUUCAGAGAGAACACAUGGUCUUUCAGCCAUAGCUCUUCUCAAGGGUUCACAAACCCCGUGCAGCACUCUCUGCCUUUGCUCAUAGGCCCUCUCAGAUGCAUCAUGAACUCUUAGUCUUUUCUCCCUGCUUAGUUGCUUCUGAAGAGCAUGAACUUUGCCUUCUAACCAUCUUUCAAAGGCAGACCAUAGACCAUCAACCAGAGAGGCGUCAAACUGAUUAUCAGUUACCUGAUACAGCCAGUUCAGUCUUCUGGUGGCCUCUUCAGAAAACUCCUGAAUGAGUUGAGUAAGACUCUGAGGAUGGAAGGAGGUGGCCAGAGUCAGAAUAGGCUGUGGAAUUCUGGCAGCAUUGGAGCUCGAAGCAUUGGAGCUAUCAGGUCUGAGUUGUUCUGAAGGUGUGGAAUCAAUCUCAUGGUCCUUCUCUGUGCCUGAGUGAUAUGAUUCAUCCAUGUGCUCAGCUUCAGAGAUUGUAUCUGGCCUUUGCCUUGAGGUAACAGUCUUCUCAGGUGAGGUGAAACUCAGAUCCUGUGAGUUGACUGCUGAGUAGUUGGAUAAAGACACAUAGGAGGUCUCAACAGCAUCUGGAAGCUGAUCUUCAAAAUUGGAAGCUAUUUGUUGAAGGGGCUUCACAUUGAAAGGCGGUACAAGGAUCUGAACAUCAUCAUCCUCUUUUUCUGUCUCAGCAGGAAUCUCACCAGUUUGGGUUAUGAGGAAGGUGUGUGAAGUGGAUGCAGGCUUGGGAGUGAAUUGUUGAACCAAGGUUCUCAGGGUAGCCUCACUUUGAACAAUACCUUGAAUGAAGGAAUUGAAAGGAGGUACAGGUUCAGUUGGGAUGGAUGUGGAGGAGGUGUAAAUUGGAAUUGAAGGGAUGGCUGUGGUAGCUGUUUGGAUGGUUGAUGUAGGAGCUUGAGGUUCAGCUUGUGUUUCAGGUUGAGUGGGUGCUGUUUGGGUUGAGGUAGGCAUGGAGGUAGAUAUAGGCAGGGGUUGUUCAGGUAUUACUACUAAAGCAGAAUCAGAGUUAAUGCUUUCAGUAAUUACCUUACUUGGACUUCUGAUGGAUGUGGUUCUGGCGAGUUGUGCAGCCCUGGCAGGAUCAGAAGUGCGUUUUGAUCUUCUUUCCCUUUGUGCUUCUGAAGCAGGGUCAGAUGCCUGCUGUGAUUUUGCCUCUUUCUGCUGAAGUGGACCUUUCAGAGGCAGUUUCCUUCUCCUGACCAAGUGUACUUCGUCAGAGUCUGUGGAUUCUUCAGCUUCUGAGGAUUCCCUUAUACCCUGAAGCACAUUCUGGAUGAUCUCAUGGUCAUCCUGCUCAUCUUCUUCCUCAAGAAUAACUUUUCUCCUCUUGGCAAGAGGAACAUCAUCAUCUUCAGUUUCCUCACUUGAGGAGUCUUCCCAUGAGUCCUCAGAACUUUCAGAUUCAGAUACUUGACGUGAUUGAACUGAGGUUCUCUUAGAAGGUCUCUCAGGAGAGGAUUCCCUGAUGACCACAGUCUUGGAUGCAGCUUUCUUCUUUGUAGGUUCCUCUGUCAGAAUCCCUUUGCCCUUAGGAUCUGAAGGCUUGCUGCUUGUUGCCCUCCUUGAUUUCCUUGUUGCCAACUUAGGAGGACUUUCAGGAAGUGUAUUGACAAAUUCUGCAAGAGUGAUAGGAUCUCCUUGUCUUCUGAGCAUCCUUACAUAUUCAAGAAUGCAAGCUGGAUUGUCCUUCUUGGACCAAAGAGGAAAAUCAUCAAUAGGAUAGUUCCUCUGACGAACUUCAUCAGAAGUGUCUUCUCUGGGAGCAACUUGGACUUUUCAAUGAUCUGCAUUUUCUUCAACUUUGUACCAAUGAGAGCAUCGCCGAUAGUCAUGGCCAGAUCUUCAUGAAGUCCAAUGUCUGAUAGGGUCUUGACAAGCUUAUUCUGGACGAAGAUAUCUGACAGCAGCCUUCCAUACGGAAUGUAAGAAAUGAACCUCUUGUUCUCAGAACCAGUUGUGGUCCUUGAUUUCUUAACACAUUCCUUCAGAUAAUUGAAGAGCAGGAAUGGCAGACAGAUAAGUUCACCUAUAGAGAUGUAGUACAUGAUUACCUUCUGAGUUGCAUUCAGGUAAUCAGUUCCUCCAGUUCUGGGGUGAAUGCAGUGAAUGAAGAUCUUCUGCCAAAUCUUCAUCUGAGACUUCAAGUCUUUAAUGUUAUACUUGGUUUUCUCGUAAGACCAGUUAUCAUAAAGCGCCUUGUUGACCACGGUCCUCAUCCCAGUAACAUUUGCAUCAACAUUUUUAACCCUUUUUCCUUGCUGGAACUCCAUACCCAGCAGCUUUGCAAUAGAUUCUUCAGAGAUCACAAUUUUCUUGUCCAGCACAUGAGAGACGACGAAGUAGUCGUUGCAGACUGCAUUCUUCCAGAACUCGACAACCAACUUGUGAUAGAUCGGACCACAGAGCCUGUUGAAGUAGCCAGACCAACCUUGCAAAUUGACUUGGUCUCUAAUGUCAAACCCAUGUUGAGCCAGAUUGUCAAAAUCAACUCUUGCUUCACAGCACACAUUCAGUUCUUCCACUUUCUUGGCACAAGUGACUACAUUUGGUGCAUUCAGAAUCUUCUGUGCUUCUUCAAAUCUUUGAUUCUCUUGAUCUUCAGCGGUUUGUUUGGAAGAAGCAGAAACAUUUACCUUGGGUUUCCUCGAUUUGCCCAUGAUUUUCAGAGAAUGAGGUUUAGGGUUCAGAGAGAAAGGGGAAAUGUUGGAGGGAGGAGUAUGAAUGAAUGCAAUGCACACGAAUAGUUUUAAAACCGUAAGUGUAAGUGAGUGGGAUAUCGUGUGUGACAGUGCAUAUAGUGGGUUUAAUGGUAACCGUUGACAGUUUUAAGAAAUUAAAGGCAAGAUCAACGGUUAUAAAAUAGAUAGUCUGAAAAUAGCGUAGUAGAGGAGAGUAGACAUCAUCAUUAUAGCAGAUAUACCACGCAACUCAAGGAACUAUGUCUCAAAUGAAGUGACAUGUGUAUUGUUGCUAGCCACAGAAGUUUAACCGGUGGGUUAAGUGCUUCUGAUCGAGUAACUUCUGUAGGAGGUGACAUCUGAUGACUUCAGAGGUACCAUGGUCAGAAGUUCUGAAGAAAACCUUACUCUGGACAAAAAUCCAUGUUCAAGUUUUCAAGAAUAAAUAAAAACCUAUCUUCUGCUAAGGGCUUAGUGAAAAUAUCUGCCCACUGAUGGUCAGCAUCAACAUACUCUAAUGAUAGAGUGCCCUUCUGAACAUGAUCACGAAUAUAAUGAUACUUUACCUCUAUAUGCUUUGCUCUUGAGUGUAGAAUAGGGUUCUUGCUGAGUGAGAUAGCAGCUGUGUUGUCACAAUAAAUAGGAACCUUCUUCAGAGACAAACCAUAAUCUUCCAGAUGAUUCUUCAUCCAUAUGGUUUGUGUACAGCAUGUGGCAGCUGAGACAUAUUCUGCUUCAGCAGUUGAUAGAGCAAUUGUGUUCUGUCUUUUACUUGACCAUGUGACAAGAUUAGAUCCAAGGAAAUGGCAGCUUCCAGAAGUGCUUUUCCUUUCCACUCUAUCUCCAGCAAAGUCAGCAUCACAAAAACCUGAAAGUGUAUACUCUGAUGUUUUUCUAUACAUCAAGCCAAGGUUAGUGGUUCCUUUCAGAUAUUUGAGGAUUCUCUUAACAGCAGUUAAGUGAGUCUCUCUAGAAUCUGAUUGGAAUCUAGCACAGAGAUGCACACUAAACAAUAUAUCAGGUCUAGAGGCAGUUAAGUAGAGAAGAGAGCCUAUCAUUCCACGAUAGAGCUUCUGAUAAACCUUAGAGGAAACUUCCUCUUUCUCAAGAAUGCAUGUUGGAUGCAUUGGAGUCUUUGAGAUGUUGCAGUCACUCAUGUUGAACUUCUUCAGAAGUUCCAGGGUGUACUUCUUCUGAUGGAUAUAGGUGACUCCUGGUCGUUGAUCUAUUUGAAUUCCCAGGAAAUAUUUAAGUUCUCUCAUCAUGCUCAUUUCAAAUUCAGCCUGCAUUAACUUAGAGAAUUCCUUGCACAAGGAGGGAUUAGCAGAACCAAAAAUGAUAUCAUCAACAUAAAUCUGAACUAUAAGAAUGUCAUUCUUAUAGGUUCUGCAGAAAAGAGUAUUAUCACCUUUACCCCUUACAAACUCAUUCUGAAGAAGAAAGGAGCUGAGCCUUUCGUACCACGCUCUGGGAGCUUGUUUCAAUCCAUAGAGUGGCUUCUUGAGCUUGUAGACAUGAUCUGGAAAUUUUUCAUCCUCAAAGCCAGGAGGCUGCUUGACAUACACUUCUUCUGAAAUGUAGCCAUUGAGGAAGGCACUCUUGACGUCCAUCUGAUGGAGAAUGAUGUUGUGAUUUACUGAGAAGGAAAUCAGUAGCCUUAUAGCUUCAAGCCUUGCUACAGGAGCAAAGGUCUCAGUGUAAUCAAUUCCCUCUUGUUGACUGUAGCCUUAAGCCACCAGUCUUGCCUUGUUUCUUGUUACUUCUCCUUUUUCAUUCAGCUUGUUUCUGAAUACCCACUUGGUUCCUAUGACAUGGAAACCUUUGGGUUUAGGCAUUAAGGUCCAUACAUCAUUCUUGGUGAACUGAUCUAGCUCUUCUUGCAUUGCCAGAAUCCAGCCUUUGUCUUCAAGAGCUUCAUCAACUGAUUUGGGCUCAAUGAGAGAAACAAGUCCCUUCAGACUCAGAAGAGUCUCUUCUGAAGGUUUGAGCAUUGACCUGGUUCUGACUGGAGCAUCUUUGUUGCCAAUGAUCAGUUCUUCUGGAUGAGAAGCAACUAUUCUUUUCUUCUUCUGAAGUUGAUCAGAAGUUGUUGGAGCAUCUUCAGAUGCUUCUGCCUCUGGAGCAACAUCCUCUUGGCUUUUCGUUGGUUGAUUUGCUUCUGAACAAUCAAUGCUUAAAUCUGCAAAUCUUUCAAACAACUUUGACUUUUCUGAGCCAAGCUUAUCAUCAAAUCUAAUCUGGAUAGAUUCCUCAACAGUUUGAUGAAUAAUAUUAUAAAUUCUAAAACCUUUAGAUCUUUCAGAAUAACCAAGAAAAUAACAUUUUAAAGCUUUAGAAUCGAAUUUACCCAAUUGCUCCUUGGUGUUGAGCAUGUAGCAACAGCUUCCAAAAGGAUGGAAGUAAGAGAUGUCAGGUUGUCUUCCUUUGCAUAGCUCAUAAGGAGUCUUCUCCAUAAUUGGUCUAAUGGAGAUUCUGUUCUGGAUGUAGCAUGCAGUGUUGAUUGCUUCUGCCCAGAAGUAUUUGGCCAUACUUGAUUCUUGCAUCAUGGUGCGAGCCAUCUCCUGAAGAGUUAUGUUCUUUCUUUCAACAACUCCAUUUUGUUGAGGAGUACGAGGACAGGAGAAGUUAUGAGAGAUUCCUUGGGAGUUGAAUAAUUCUUCAAAAGCUUUGUUCUCAAAUUCUCCACCAUGGUCACUUCUGACAGUAAUCACAGAAGAUUGAAACUCCUUCUGAACUAGGGUAAUGAAGUUGGUAAACACAGUGUGUGUUUCAUCUUUGUGCCUUAGGAACUUUACCCAUGUCCACCUGUUGUAGUCAUCUACAAUGACUAACCCAUACUUCUUUCCUCCAAUGGAUUCAGUCUUCACUGGUCCAAAAAGAUCAAUGUGAAGUAGCUCAAGGGGUCUUGUUGUAGAUACCACAUUCUUUGCUUUAAAUGACUUCUUGGUGAAUUUUCCCUUCUAACAAGCUUCACAUAGAGCCUCUGAUGAGUACUUCAGACGAGGCAAUCCUCUGACGAGAUUUAGCUUGCUAAGUUGAGAGAUUUUUCUGAGACUGGCAUGUCCUAGACGUCUGUGCCAGAUCCAUUGCUCAUCAUUAACUGACAUGAGACACUUGACCUUCUGAGAUAGCAGUUCAGAAGAUCUGAUUUUGUAAAUAUCGUUUUUCCUCUUCCCAGAAAACAAAACAGAUCCAUCUGUUUGACUAACAACUUUGCAUCCGGUUUGAUUGAAGAUCACAUCGUAACCUUUGUUAGCAAUUUGGAUUAUGGAGAGCAGGUUGUGAAAUAAUCCUUCCACCAGAAGUACAUCAUUGAUGACUGGAAUUUUUCCAUCUCCUAUGGAACCUUUUCCAACAAUUUUUCCCUUCUGGUUUCCUCCAAAGCCAACAUCUCCUCCUGACUUAAGCGGUGUCAGUUCUUGGAAUAUAGACCUUGUGCCCGUCAUGUGUCGCGAGCAUCCACUGUUCAGGUACCAUGACAGGUGUCUUAACUGAGCUGCAUAAGAUGUCUGCAACAGGAAUAAUUUUUGCUUUAGGUACCCACAUCUUGGGUACUUUCUUGUUAGUUUUCCCAGAAGUUCUUGGAACUUUGGGUGCAAUAGGAGGAUAAUGCAGAGGAACUUGAGUAUAAUAUCUAGACAUAUCAAGUUUAAACUUUCCCUUUGGUUUCACCAUCUUUGGUGUAACCUUUUCUGGAAUGACAGUGCCAGCGGGAACGAAAUGCUUAUGCAAAGGUUCGCGUUUGGGCUCAGAUGACUCAUCUUUCAUGGAUUGAAAGUAGCCAAGGCCACUGUUCCCAUUUCUGCUCAUGCCAUAGAUCAUUGAAGCCAUAAGACUUCUGUCUAUGCCCUUUGCAAGGAACUUUUGAAACGCUUUCUCAUAUUUUGUCUCAUACUUAACAUCAGAUGAUGCAAGUUGGUCUUCUAGCACAUCAUUUUUAGCACGAAGAACAACAUUGUCAUUAACAAGAAUAUAGUUUUCAUCAAUGAGUUCAGAGACUGACUUCUCAUGAACUUCUGAAGAACUGGUUUUAACAGCAUAUUUCUUUUUAAGCUCUUUAUGCUUAUUUAGCAGAAUAUCAUGUUUCUUCAUUAUUUCAGAUAAAGCAGUUCUUAGCUCAGAUAGAGAAAAAUCAGAGAAUACCUCAUCAUCAUUCUCAGAGUCUGAAUCAUCUUCUGAAGCUUCAGCACCUCUGCUAGUGGUAGCCAUUAGAGCCUCCACAGCUUCAUCUUCUUCUGACUCAGCUUCAUCAGAAUCAGUUGCAUCAAAGGUUAUGAGGGCUUUCUUCGUGAAGACUUUUCUUGGUCUCUUGAAUUGAAAGUCUAGGGCGUGUGAGUUAUCAACAUCUUAGAACAUAGGCUAAAUCGUCGUAGAGGAGUUUAUUAAAUUCAUAUGAACAUUGUUAGAAUAAAGGCAUAUGCCGAAUAGGUGAAACAGGACCCAAGUACUAUCUUUCUCAUCUGAUUUCAUAAACUCUUUGAUUUUCGCUUUUACUUUUUAUUAGUGAUUGUUACAAUCUUUAAAAUCCCUAAAAUUGGUUUUUAUUUUCAUAAUCUAAAUACUAGAAGUUAAUAUAACUAUUAUUGAAUCACAAUUCUCGAGGGAUCGAUAAUUUAUUACUACGGGCAACUUUGUACACUUGCAAAGGAGCUAUCAAUAAGCGUAAUGGUUAACUACUUCAUGUGAACUAUUUUUCAGGAAAUAACCUUUAUGACUCACAUCCUUCAUCAUUUGAUAUCCAAAGCACAAGACAAUACAAGAAGAUGUUUCACUGAAGUGACGAAAGGCCAAGGCUACAAGGCAGACAGUACAAGCAAAGAAUAGUCAAUACUGCUAGAUCGUCUAACCAAAGGAAAAAGAAGAAUGAUGAAGAUACAAGACAGUCUGCGCAAGUAAAGUCAAAGCAUCAAGACUGUCUUCAGAAUAAGAUUCAAAGCUUCAGGACAACUGAUGCAAGAUCAAUCAAAGUUAUCAGAUCGUGUGAGAAGACUACACUCAACGUCUAUCUCAAAGCCGAUAAGUGGAAGCAAUGUCUAGAGAAUGAGCGCCAAAUUCAAAAUUGAAAUCUCUCUAACAUUCUUGAGGAGAAAGUCAAGUGUAAGGAAUCAUGUGAUACUUCACAAAGCACAUUGAUCAAGGAAACAAGUACAACGAUGUCACUAUAAAAGUUUCCUCUUUCUCUCUCUCACUCAGGAAAUGGAGAAAUGGAAUCAAGCUUAUUGUCUAUGCCUACUAGCAUCUAUCUUAUUCAAGACAAUUCAUCUCCAAAGAAGAAGAACUAAGUGAUUGGUCAAAGGUUAUCAUUCAAAUUGUAAUUGACCAAUAUGAAGAUUGAAUGAAGAAUUAGUGAAGUAGAAAAAUCGUGUGAAUGAAGCAAAGUCUAUCAUAGAAGAAAAGUUGCAAUAUCUAAAGAACGAUUUUUGCA